AUUGAACGCUGGCGGCAUGCCUUACACAUGCAAGUCGAACGGUAACGGGCCUUCGGGUGCCGACGAGUGGCGAACGGGUGAGUAAUGCAUCGGAACGUACCUUUCAGUGGGGGAUAACGUAGCGAAAGUUACGCUAAUACCGCAUAUUCUGUGAGCAGGAAAGCAGGGAAUCGCAAGACCUUGUGCUGAUUGAGCGGCCGAUGUCAGAUUAGCUAGUUGGUGAGGUAAAGGCUCACCAAGGCGACGAUCUGUAGCGGGUCUGAGAGGAUGAUCCGCCACACUGGAACUGAGACACGGUCCAGACUCCUACGGGAGGCAGCAGUGGGGAAUUUUGGACAACGGGGGCAACCCUGAUCCAGCCAUGCCGCGUGAGUGAAGAAGGCCUUCGGGUUGUAAAGCUCUUUCGGCCGGGAAGAAAUCGCACGGGCUAAUACCCUGUGUGGAUGACGGUACCGGAAUAAGAAGCACCGGCUAACUACGUGCCAGCAGCCGCCGUAAUAC
rnacentral:rRNA from 1 species